GUUCAGUGGACGCAUGCAGUCACAGUCAGUCCAUCAGGUCCAAUCGAUGCUAUGUCUGUCCAGUCACGGUUAUGCAGACUCCUAGCGGUAUCCAAGCUUCACAAUAAGUGUGAUUGUACUGAGUGGGCCUAGGCUGUACAUCCUCACAGUCAUCGUGUCGGCUGACCAUUCAGCGGAGGACUACGAUGCGACAUCAGAGUGUUGAAGGCAGACCAUGACGUUUGAUGUGAUAACAUAGAAGUAUCAAAUCUGGCCUUGCUCUAUUCAUUAGCUUGAAUACAGAGUAGGACUUAUGGUAGUAGUUGGUGGCAUCUAGAUCCGCCGUAAUGAGUUAUAGUGAUAGUCUGGGGCGACACUAAUUUAGCUGUCAGACAUGAAAUCCAGGACAUCUCCAAGAUCAAGGGUUAAAAUGCAGUGUCGAAGAAGAUUUUCAUUAAUCAGUAGUCUUAACCACAAGGGAUCGAAGACGAUCGAUCGGGCGUGGUAGUCUAAGGCUUAAUCGGGAUCCGAGCGAAAUCAAAGUUUUUUUUUAUGAUGAGAGUCUCGGCACCAUGGGAGAAAUCAAAGUGAUUGGAUUCAGGGGGCGACUACGGGAGCAGGGCUGAAACUUAAAGAAAACUCAACAAGGGCACCACAAGCCGUUCCAGACAUACGGAGGAUUGACUCAACACGAGGUAACUCACCAGGUCCAGACAAAAUAAGCAUGGCCAGUUUGAGAGCUCUUUCUUGAUCUUUUGGGUUAAUGGUGCAUGGCCGUUGAGACCUGGUUGAGUGAAAUGUACGGAUUCAUGUGAUAACGAGGGAGACGUCUCCCGUCAAAUAGCUCUUUCCGCAGAGACGGUCCUCUGGCUUAUGAGGGGGACUAUCGGCACAAGCCGAUGGAAGUGCGCGGCAAUAACAGUUCUGUGCUGCCGCGAGACAUUGAGGCCGGCACGCACGUUUCAUUCACAGGGCCACAGAGUACAUCACCUUUGCGAAGAGGUAUGGGUAAUGGGAUUAAGCCCUGUAAUUAUGGGGAUAGAGCGAGGCAUUUAUUGUUAGUGCAAGUGGUAAGCCUGGUAGGCACGAGUCCUCAGCUCGUGCACACUACGUCCCUGCCCUCUGUACACACCGCCGCUCGAUCAUGCAGAAUGAAUGAACUGGUGAGGCGUUGGCGAACGGCUCCUAGGGGAGGGCAACAGACCCCCCUGAGCCGGAAAGUUGUCAAGCCCAGUCCAAGU
rnacentral:rRNA from 1 species